AAAAUAAAGGCAUGAAUGAUAUACUGACACAGUUUGCCAGCCUCAGUUUGACUCCAGAUCACGUAAAUUUUCGUAAAAUACGUGGUUGGCUCAGUCCGACAUCGGGCCGCAAAAGGUUAAAGAUAACGACAAUGCAAAAAUAGUAACAGGAGGAGUUUCAUGGCCCUUAGGUCCAACUGGAAAACCAUUCUGGCCCUGAUUUAGUCAAUUAUUUAGAAGUACUUAUUGUGCCUCUAAUAAAAAUCACGCAAACCUUAACUUCUUCCUGUAGAAUUGUAAGCCAAAUUAUAAUCUGAGAGUACAAAAAUCGCAUAACGACUCUACCUUUCAUGCCCUAAAAAGUAACUUCAGCAAAAUCCUCAAACAUAUUUUAAAAAGUAUCAGUAAAUAGUUCUAGCCCCUUGGGGAUAAACUUGACAUUACGAAGAAAAUUAAUUCAUUAUGCUCUGAUACUUCAUUUUGUUAUUGUGAUUUCUGGUAAUUUAGCAAUGUUUCAGGUCCAAUACGAAGGGCAAAAGCCUUAAGUGGUCACUAUCAGCAUUUCUUUGACUGUUUUGUGCCCGGUUCAAAAUUCCAUGGUAUCUCAAAAGAAAUGUUGUUUUAAAGUUGCGUGUGCCUGUACGCAGAACAAUGUCCGUUUCUUUCAUACUGUUGUGCCAUGGAUAGCCGUAACCAAGAGGUUACGGCUAAUGAACUAUUUGUUUUUCCUGAACGUGCCCUGUUGACCAUGCGCAGUUGUGUUUCCACCACCCCUUUACCUUUUCCUUAAACUUCCUGAUUCUGUGUGGCCUAACAGGGAGGUCACUUAGGUACAGGGUUUCACCAGAAACACUUUACAAAUUCCAUUUUGGCUGCUUAUUCUAAAUUUAAUUUAAUUUAAUUUAAUUUGAUUUGGGUGAUGUUCUGCCCUGUGCGGAUGCUCCGCCGGUUGAGACGUCCGCUGUGAGUGUCGGCCUUGUGGGGCGAGACUGUCCCUUGUCACCUUCGGAGCAGCAACUGAUCAAACGCGUCGAGGGAAAACGAUUAAGGUUACUGUUACUGAUAUCGAUAUCAGCCCCUCAAGCCAGGUAUGGUACCUCGCUGCACUAAACAGUGGGACAUACUUGUCCUUAGCCCUGGUGGGAGUUUAUGGCCUGUAGUGAUCGUCUUUAGAAGGCCUUGUCUAAGCCGGAAUUAUUAUAGAUGACAUCAAAAUGAAACAACGGGGAUUUUAAUUUUGUUAUUCUGUUUCGUUUUUAUACGUUACAUAUUUUGGCCUGUAUAAAAUAUAAUACUAAAUCACUCUUUACCUAACUACAUGGAACGGAACCCCUCUUUAAAAGCUAAUAGUUGUUCCGCUAUUUCAGGAAUUCCCCUCCUCUCCCCUAUCUUAUGUAACCCGAAGGUUCAUCAACAUAUUCACAAGAGCCUUCCUAUUCUUAUUCUGUGUCAGAUGAAUCCAAUCCAUACUUAAAUUAUAUUUCCUGAAGAUCUAUUUAAAUAUCCUUCCAUCUACGCCUAGGUCUUCCGAGAGGUUUUCUAUUCCCUUUAGUCAUUCAAUCCAAAAUUUUGUACGCAUUUUUCAUCUUCUUCUUGUCCCGCCGAUCAAACCCUUCUUGAUUCGAUAAUCGUAAUAAUAUUUUUUGAAGAUUACAAACUAUGAAACUCUUAAUUAUGCACUUAUAUCCAGUUUGCUCUCACUUUGUAGCUCUUAGGUCGAAAUAUUCA